AGACUUAACCAAAAUUAUCAAUUCGGUAUAAGAUGGACAUUUUGAAUUGUAUGUUGUGUUAUAAUGCUUGUAAAUAUGAUUUAUUGGUUGACUAGUGGUCGUACCGUUAUUCGUUAGCUCAUUUAGAAUAUCUUUCACAUUGUUUAGAGGAUAAUUAUAAUGAAAGUCAUAACAAUGCUGUUGUUCAGCUGGUUGCUGAUUCGUAUGUAAACAUAUCAGUACAAAUGUAAUAAUGAAAACAAAUUGGGUUAUAGUUCUUUUGCUCUUGUUAAGUUCGUUUCUGUAUGAUAUAGAAAUCAUUAUUAUCUUGUUCCUCUUCUCUUUGUUUUAAACUGCUUCACCU
rnacentral:lncRNA from 1 species